GAUGAACGCUAGCUACAGGCUUAACACAUGCAAGUCGAGGGGCAGCACAGUGUAGCAAUACACGGGUGGCGACCGGCGCACGGGUGCGUAACGCGUAUCCAACCUUCCCGUUACUCCGGGAUAGCCUUCCGAAAGGGAGAUUAAUACCGGAUGGUGUUUGAAGUCCGCAUGAAAUUCAAACUAAAGAUUUAUCGGUAACGGAUGGGGAUGCGUACCAUUAGAUAGUAGGCGGGGUAACGGCCCACCUAGUCGACGAUGGUUAGGGGUUCUGAGAGGAUGAACGGCCACAUUGGGACUGAGAUACGGCCCAGACUCCUACGGGAGGCAGCAGUGGGGAAUAUUGGGCAAUGGGCGAAAGCCUGACCCAGCGACGCCGCGUGAAGGAAGAAGGCCUUCGGGUUGUAAAC
rnacentral:rRNA from 1 species